rnacentral:rRNA from 1 species
AUACAUUAUAUAUAAAUAAAAUUAAAAUGUUAAUAAAUAAAUUAAUUAAAAUGUAAGAGUAUUAUCCGAGCUUCAGGCAUGGAAAGGUAACCUUACUAGGCGAGAGUAAAUAUUAAUAGACCCGAAAGCAGAUGAUCUUACCUUGAUAAGAUGAAUAACGAUCGAACAAGUUGAUGUAGCAAAAUCAUUUGAAUAAUUGAGGUAAGUAAGUGAAAGACAAAUCUGAUCUGCAGAUAGCUGGUUUUCUAUGAAAUAUAUGUAAGUAUAGCCUUUAUAUAAAUAUAAUAUUUUAUUAAUAAAUUAAUAAAAGGAUGGAUAGCAAUUAAUAUAUUUUCGUAAAUCGAAAAGUUCCCCUGCUUCCGCAGAAGCUG